CCCUGCUGUAACCUGUCUCUCAUGGAGGCAGAGUGCUGACACACACUAAGGAGCCAGGCUGUGGAACGGUGUGGAGGAAAAGAAAACUGGGUAUCUGUCUUUUAAGGUCAAUCCUUUCCCCUCUCUUCCUCCUCCUCUCUCGCUCUUUUCCUUCUCCUCCUCGCUCUCUCCUCCUCUCUGUCUCCUCCUCUCUCCCUCCUCCUCUCUCUCUCUCUCUCCUCCUCUCUCUCUUCCUUCUCCUCCUACCUGAUCGUUACCUGUUCUGUGGUUCAGCCAUUCUUAUUCAAGGGUUGAGUCACUGUUAGUUCAGUGUUAGUUCAUGUUUCGUUCAGUGUUAGUUCAGUGUGUUAGUUCAGUGUUAGUUCAGUGUGUUAGUUCAGUGUUAGUUCAGUGUGUUAGUUCAGUGUUAGUUCAGUGUGUUAGUUCAGUGUUAGUUCAGUGUUAGUUCAGUGUUAGUUCAGUGUUAGUUCAGUGUGUUAGUUCAGUGUUAGUUCAGUGUUAGUUCAGUGUGUUAGUUCAGUGUUAGUUCAGUGUUAGUUCAGUGUUAGUUCAGUGUGUUAGUUCAGUGUUAGUUCAGUGUUAGUUCAGUGUUAGUUCAGUGUUAGUUCAGUGUUAGUUCAGUGUGUUAGUUCAGUGUUAGUUCAGUGUUAGUUCAGUGUUUCUUCAGUGUUAGUUCAGUGUUGGUUCAGUGUUAGUUCAGUGUUAGUUCAGUGUUUCGUUCAGUGUUAGUUCAGUGUUAGUUCAGUGUUAGUUCAGUGUUAGUUCAGUGUUAGUUCAGUGUUUUAGUUCAGUGUUUGUUCAGUGUUAGUUCAGUGUUAGUUCAGUGUUAGUUCAGUGUUUCUUCAGUGUUAGUUCAGUGUUAGUUCAGUGUUAGUUCAGUGUUUUAGUUCAGUGUUUUAGUUCAGUGUUAGUUCAGUGUUAGUUCAGUGUUAGUUCAGUGUUAGUUCAGUGUUAGUUCAGUGUUAGUUCAGUGUUUUAGUUCAGUGUUUCUUCAGUGUUUUAGUUCAGUGUUAGUUCAGUGUUAGUUCAGUGUGUUAGUUCAGUGUUAGUUCAGUGUUAGUUCAGUGUGUUAGUUCAGUGUUUUAGUUCAGUGUUAGUUCAGUGUUAGUUCAGUGUUAGUUCAGUGUUAGUUCAGUGUUAGUUCAGUGUUUCUUCAGUGUUUCUUCAGUGUUUCUUCAGUGUUAGUUCAGUGUUGGUUCAGUGUUAGUUCAGUGUUAGUUCAGUGUUAGUUCAGUGUUUCGUUCAGUGUUAGUUCAGUGUUAGUUCAGUGUGUUAGUUCAGUGUUAGUUCAGUGUGUUAGUUCAGUGUUAGUUCAGUGUUAGUUCAGUGUUUUAGUUCAGUGUUAGUUCAGUGUUAGUUCAGUGUUAGUUCAGUGUUAGUUCAGUGUUAGUUCAGUGUGUUAGUUCAGUGUUAGUUCAGUGUUAGUUCAGUGUUAGUUCAGUGUUAGUUCAGUGUGUUAGUUCAGUGUUAGUUCAGUGUUGGUUCAGUGUUUUAGUUCAGUGUUAGUUCAGUGUUGGUUCAGUGUUGGUUCAGUGUUAGUUCAGUGUUAGUUCAGUGUUGGUUCAGUGUUGGUUCAGUGUUAGUUCAGUGUUAGUUCAGUGUUAGUUCAGUGUUAGUUCAGUGUUAGUUCAGUGUUAGUUCAGUGUUAGUUCAGUGUGUUAGUUCAGUGUUAGUUCAGUGUGUUAGUUCAGUGUUAGUUCAGUGUUAGUUCAGUGUUUUAGUUCAGUGUUAGUUCAGUGUUAGUUCAGUGUUAGUUCAGUGUUAGUUCAGUGUGUUAGUUCAGUGUUAGUUCAGUGUUAGUUCAGUGUUAGUUCAGUGUUAGUUCAGUGUGUUAGUUCAGUGUUAGUUCAGUGUUAGUUCAGUGUUAGUUCAGUGUUAGUUCAGUGUUAGUUCAGUGUUAGUUCAGUGUUUUAGUUCAGUGUUUCUUCAGUGUUUUAGUUCAGUGUUAGUUCAGUGUUAGUUCAGUGUGUUAGUUCAGUGUUAGUUCAGUGUUAGUUCAGUGUUAGUUCAGUGUUUUAGUUCAGUGUUUCUUCAGUGUUUUAGUUCAGUGUUAGUUCAGUGUUAGUUUAGUGUUUUAGUUCAGUGUUAGUUCAGUGUGUUAGUUCAGUGUUAGUUCAGUGUGUUAGUUCAGUGUUAGUUCAGUGUUAGUUCAGUGUGUUAGUUCAGUGUUAGUUCAGUGUUAGUUCAGUGUUAGUUCAGUGUUAGUUCAGUGUUAGUUUAGUGUUUCUUCAGUGUUUCUUCAGUGUUUCUUCAGUGUUAGUUCAGUGUUGGUUCAGUGUUAGUUCAGUGUUAGUUCAGUGUUAGUUCAGUGUUUCGUUCAGUGUUAGUUCAGUGUGUUAGUUCAGUGUUAGUUCAGUGUUAGUUCAGUGUUAGUUCAGUGUUAGUUCAGUGUGUUAGUUCAGUGUGUUAGUUCAGUGUUAGUUCAGUGUUAGUUCAGUGUUAGUUCAGUGUUAGUUCAGUGUUAGUUCAGUGUUAGUUCAGUGUUAGUUCAGUGUGUUAGUUCAGUGUGUUAGUUCAGUGUGUUAGUUCAGUGUUAGUUCAGUGUUAGUUCAGUGUGUUAGUUCAGUGUUAGUUCAGUGUUAGUUCAGUGUUAGUUCAGUGUUAGUUCAGUGUUAGUUCAGUGUGUUAGUUCAGUGUUAGUUCAGUGUUAGUUCAGUGUUAGUUCAGUGUUAGUUCAGUGUGUUAGUUCAGUGUUAGUUCAGUGUUAGUUCAGUGUUAGUUCAGUGUUAGUUCAGUGUUAGUUCAGUGUUAGUUCAGUGUUUUAGUUCAGUGUUAGUUCAGUGUUAGUUCAGUGUGUUAGUUCAGUGUUUCGUUCAGUGUUAGUUCAGUGUUAGUUCAGUGUGUUAGUUCAGUGUUAGUUCAGUGUGUUAGUUCAGUGUUAGUUCAGUGUUAGUUCAGUGUUAGUUCAGUGUUUCUUCAGUGUUAGUUCAGUGUGUUAGUUCAGUGUUAGUUCAGUGUUAGUUCAGUGUUAGUUCAGUGUUAGUUCAGUGUUAGUUCAGUGUUUUAGUUCAGUGUUAGUUCAGUGUUAGUUCAGUGUUAGUUCAGUGUUAGUUCAGUGUUAGUUCAGUGUUUCUUCAGUGUUUCUUCAGUGUUAGUUCAGUGUUAGUUCAGUGUUAGUUCAGUGUUUUAGUUCAGUGUUAGUUCAGUGUUAGUUCAGUGUUAGUUCAGUGUUUCUUCAGUGUGUUAGUUCAGUGUGUUAGUUCAGUGUUAGUUCAGUGUUAGUUCAGUGUUAGUUCAGUGUGUUAGUUCAGUGUUAGUUCAGUGUUAGUUCAGUGUUAGUUCAGUGUUUUAGUUCAGUGUUAGUUCAGUGUUAGUUCAGUGUUAGUUCAGUGUUAGUUCAGUGUUAGUUCAGUGUGUUAGUUCAGUGUUAGUUCAGUGUUAGUUCAGUGUUAGUUCAGUGUUUUAGUUCAGUGUUAGUUCAGUGUUAGUUCAGUGUUAGUUCAGUGUUAGUUCAGUGUUAGUUCAGUGUUUCUUCAGUGUUUUAGUUCAGUGUUAGUUCAGUGUUAGUUCAGUGUUAGUUCAGUGUUAGUUCAGUGUUAGUUCAGUGUUAGUUCAGUGUUUCUUCAGUGUUUUAGUUCAGUGUUAGUUCAGUGUUAGUUCAGUGUUAGUUCAGUGUUAGUUCAGUGUUAGUUCAGUGUGUUAGUUCAGUGUUAGUUCAGUGUUAGUUCAGUGUGUUAGUUCAGUGUGUUAGUUCAGUGUUAGUUCAGUGUGUUAGUUCAGUGUUAGUUCAGUGUUAGUUCAGUGUUAGUUCAGUGUUAGUUCAGUGUUAGUUCAGUGUUAGUUCAGUGUUAGUUCAGUGUUAGUUCAGUGUUUCUUCAGUAUUUUCCCAUCAGGCCGUUUUGACAGUUGAUCACUAUAAUAUACGUGUGUGCCUCGUGGUUUUCUGACUCCUGUGUGUUUGGCAUCAUGACUGUUGUUGACUACGGCCUGUGUCCCAAACGGUUCCCCUAUCCACUAUGCCCUCGCUACCUUUUUUUAGCAGUGUCCGUCUGGCUCUGGCCUAAAGGAGCACCCUACGGAGUGUGUAGGGCGCAGGCUGCCAGUCGGGACUCAGGCUGAUCCAGAGGCAGAUUUUUAUGCCUCGGCCUCGUCCCGUCUUUCGGCGACGUCGCUUGAUGUUUUUCUUGUGGGUCCCGAAGGAGGACAUUUUGAAAU
rnacentral:lncRNA from 1 species